UAUUGCUUAUACUCACACAUAAACGCUCUAAUGUCUAUGCUUCCAUUCUACUCUCUCACUGACCCACGACUUCACGACUUGGUGGUGCCCUUGGUGUGGCGCAGGAAGGAUCACGGCGGCGGUGGUUGAUUGGUGGCAUAUUGGAGAUCUGGAGAGUGGUGGUUGUUGAGUGGGGCUACUAUAGCUUGUUACAUAAUCUAUCAUAAUGGAUAGAAGUUGGAUUACGGACUCAAGGGAAGGCGCUAACUCAUGCUCAACUAUUUUGCGCAACACAUAAGAGCAAGAAGGAUGGCAAAGCUAGUGAUGAACAUGCUACCAAAAUGAUUUGAAGGUACCCGGCUCCUCAACUACACUUGGUGAUCCUUAAAUUUUAUUUUUGGUCAUGAAAUUCCGUCCUUGGGCAAAUUGAAGCAAGACGAGAGAUGAAGUUGAACCAUUUAUUCUCAAGACCCUCGAAUAGUCUCACUCAAAUUCUCAAUGAAAUGUUGAUGUUUUAUUUUGAAUGAUUUCCUUUUGAAGUUUUGCUAGAUUUUGGUGUUUCCUUUUGACCCUUUUAUUAGCACUUGACAUUUUGAAACAAAACUUAUAUGUUAUGGGAUGUUAUUGAAUUUUAAUGUAACUUUGUUCUAUGUUACAUAUCAAA